rnacentral:rRNA from 1 species
AGGAUGAACGCUGGCGGUGUGCCUAACACAUGCAAGUCGAACGAAGCCUUCGGGCUUAGUGGCGGACGGGUGAGUAACACGUUAGUACCUACCCUUUAGUGGGGAAUAACUCGGCGAAAGUCGGGCUAAUACCGCAUACGAUCCUUCGGGAUGAAAGCAUUUAUGCGCUAAAGGAGGGGCUUGCGUCUGAUUAGCUAGUUGGUAGGGUAAUGGCCUACCAAGGCAAUGAUCAGUAGCUGGUUCGAGAGGAUGACCAGCCACACUGGGACUGAGAUACGGCCCAGACUCCUACGGGAGGCAGCAGUGAGGAAUCUUCCGCAAUGGACGAAAGUCUGACGGAGCAACACCGCGUGCAGGAUGACGGCCUUGGGUUGUAAACUGUCUUUUAUUUGGGAAGAUUAUGACGGUACCAAAUGAAUAAGGACCGGCUAACUACGUGCCAGCAGCCGC